rnacentral:rRNA from 1 species
CCUACGGGAGGCAGCAGUGGGGAAUAUUGGACAAUGGGGGCAACCCUGAUCCAGCCAUGCCGCGUGUGUGAAGAAGGCCCUCGGGUUGUAAAGCACUUUCAGUGAGGAAGAACGCCUGGUGGUUAAUACCCAUCAGGAAAGACAUCACUCACAGAAGAAGCACCGGCUAACUCCGUGCCAGCAGCCGCGGUAAUACGGAGGGUGCGAGCGUUAAUCGGAAUUACUGGGCGUAAAGCGCGCGUAGGUGGCUUGAUAAGCCGGUUGUGAAAGCCCCGGGCUCAACCUGGGAACGGCAUCCGGAACUGUCAAGCUAGAGUGCAGGAGAGGAAGGUAGAAUUCCCGGUGUAGCGGUGAAAUGCGUAGAGAUCGGGAGGAAUACCGGUGGCGAAGGCGGCCUUCUGGACUGACACUGACGCUGAGGUGCGAAAGCGUGGGGAGCAAACAGGAUUAGAUACCCGUGUAGUC